rnacentral:rRNA from 1 species
UACGAGGGGAGCAAGCGUUGUUCGGAUUUACUGGGCGUAAAGGGCGCGUAGGCGGCGUGACUAGUCACUUGUGAAAUCUCCGGGCUUAACUCGGAACGGUCAAGUGAUACUGUCGUGCUAGAGUACAGAAGGGGCAACUGGAAUUCUCGGUGUAGCGGUGAAAUGCGUAGAUAUCAGGAGGAACACCGGUGGCGAAAGCGCUCAUCUGGCCCGAUACUGACGCUGAAGCACGAAAGCUAGGGGAGCAAACAGG